rnacentral:rRNA from 1 species
AUUGAACGCUGGCGGAAGGCCUAACACAUGCACGUCGAGCGGAGCGGCGGACGGGUGAGUAAUGCCUAGGAAUCUGCCUGGUAGUGGGGGAUAACGUCCGGAAACGAGCGCUAAUACCGCAUACUAUCAGAUGAGCCAAGGUCGGAUGAGCUAGUUGGUGGGGUAAAGGCCUACCAAGGCGACGAUCCGUAACUGGUCUGAGAGGAUGAUCAGUCACACUAGAACUGAUACACUGGCCAGGAUCCUACGGUAGGCAGCAGUGGGGAAUAUUGGACAAUUGGCGAAAGCCUGAUCCAGCCAUGCCGCGUGUUUGAAGAAGGUCUUCGGAUUGUAAAGCACUUUAAGUUGGGAGGCGUUACCAACAGAAUAAGCACCGGCUAACUUCGUGCCAGCAGCCGCGGUAAUUC